ACUCCUGCCCCGGGGCUAAAAGUCAAAGGAUCGCCGAGACCUGAUGUAACACUUGUAUGAUUCUCCCCUUUGAAACUUCAAACUCCAGUUUGUGAGCAAAGUCCUGUCUAUCUUCUGAAUAGGAAUCUCCGACCACAGACCAAACUCCAUUUGUAACCACUGCCUAUUUGUACCUUCUCCUCAAUGACUAGUUUUCAUUUCCCCAAGUCCGAUCUCAAAGGCAAGAGGCCAGGCAAGAAGCAAAACGGUAAAAAUGAACAGCAGCUGGAGGGAGAAAAAGACGACUGCUGUGGCCUGGAGGAGAUGAGGAAUAUACUCUGUCUCAUAUUGGGGAUUGUUUCUGAGAGAUCUGCAACACGGUGGAAAAGUGAGGCGCAUUGAGGAGCGUGUUGACGAUGAUAAGAGUGAAACAGGGAGACAAUAUGCUGCCUGAAGCAGAUUUGCGGUCGGCAGAAAGAGGGAGAUGGAGGAGAUAGAUAAACCCAACUGUCCCUUACCUGGGUCGUUGAAACGCAGCGUCCCAUCCUGACAGUACAUCCCUGUGAAGGCCGAGCUCUGACAGCGAGCCGGCGCGCUGAUCGACGGCCCAUGAGCCUCGGCGGCUCUCUUGGGCCCAGCUCGGCUGAGGCAGUGCCGCCGCCGCUGCUGGGGCCCUGCGGCUGACUGUGAGGCCACAGGGGGAUUAUCCCCUAAUGCCUGUCACAAUGAGAUUUGAUUGGAGUCCUGAACACCCAGAUUAAUAGUUUAACGAUGUAAAAAUACCUCAGAAUGAGCAGCGAGGAGUUAAUAUUUAGUAUAGAUUUAAUAAAUGUUUUUGUUUUCAGAUGCCUUUUUGCAUAAUUUCUUUUGAGAAAACAAGUUAUGCCUUGUUCUUAAAGAUUAGAUCAGAUCAUCACAGUGAAGGAGAUGUUAACCUUACAAGCUAACAUCAAGGGUAUCCCGGAUUUGACUGUUCUCAACAUGAAGCUUCAUAAUGCAAACCAAGUACCUAGAAAGAUCAAUGCAAUUUGCUGAAAUAAAAAAACACAACUUUUUGAUGCUUUUUGGUAUUAGCAUCACUCACAUUACAUGUAGAUUGGCACAAGCAUGAGAAACAAAGUCUUGAACAUUUUGUCACAUUCUCUGCACUCUGCUCAUCUCCUUUUCUGAGUUUGAUCUGCAGCCAUACUCCUGCUGAUGAGUAUCACUGUCAGAAAGUCACAUAGUGUUUGUGCACUACAAAAACAUCACAUGUUACCAAGUGCUUUUGGUCUAGUUUUUAGUGGAAACAUCUUAGUUCACUUGAAAUUAGUGAACAAGUAACAUUUUCAGCAAGAUAAAAGCACUUGUUUUAAGUCAAAAAUGUGUAAAUAUCAAUAAUAAAAAAAGACAAGUCCCACUGGCAGAUCAUUACACUUAUAACAAGAUGUUCUUCCACAUAUUACAGGUGAAACUUGUAUUUAUUUUAAAUCUGUUAAAUAAACAAGCUCUUAUAUGCUGAAAUGCAUUUGUAUGUUAGCUCUUAACCUUUAACCAAACUCAGCACAUUUUACAAUGUUGAAUAGUUUUAUUUCUGGUUUAUAUUAUUAUUAAAUUUUAAAAUGUGUGGAGCAUGUCUAGUCUGUUUUUGCUAAUGUGCACCAAAACAAAAUUUAUACUUGUAGGAUAAUAAAAAACUGAAAAGAACAAUCACUAGAAAUGUCUGACUUAUUUUUCAUUUUUGGAAGAAUAAAAAAAGCUUGGUUUUUCA